GAAUUGCGAUAAGUAAUGUGAAUUGCAGAAUUCAGUGAAUCAUCGAAUCUUUGAACGCACCUUGCGCUCCUUGGUAUUCCGAGGAGCAUGCCUGUUUGAGUGUCAUGGAAUUCUCAACUCUAUUUGCUUUUGUGAAUAGAGCUUGGAUUUGGAGGUUUAUUGCUGGUACUUGUGAUCGGCUCCUCUUGAAUGCAUUAGCUCGAACCUUUGCGGAUCAGCUAUCGGUGUGAUAAUUGUCUACGCCGUUGCAGUGAAGCAUAUCAAUGGGCUCGGCUUCCAAUCGUCCUUUACUGGACAAUGACUUUGACCUUUGACCUCAAAUCAGGUAGGAUUACCCGCUGAACUUAAGC
rnacentral:misc_RNA from 1 species